GAACCAGAGCUGUUUUUCCUAGUAUUCAAGUCCUUGAUCAUAUUCAAGGGUGGUAGGAGUGCUGCAUAUAAGAACUCUGUUCUGCAGAAAAGCAAUAGAACUGAAGGGUACCAGAAAGACGGGGCUGCAUUAUUCCGGGUUCAAGGGCUGAGACAUGAUUGCGCAAGAGCCGUUCAGGUUGAUCUGAUUGCAAGCUCGCUUAAUUCCUCGCACUGCUAUAUUUUGCAAGACGGUCCUUCUUUCUUUACCUGGACUGGAAGCCUUUCUUCACCAACUGAACAUGUUAUACUU